CUCAGCCUUCCCCACUACAAUGUGACAGAAUAUGUAGACUGGAUGUACUUUUACAAGUAUGAGCCAAUUUACAGAUGAGGCUUUCACUUCACAUUUUGAGAGCAUUCAAACUGCUCUGAUCAAAAUCCAAUUCUGGUUAUCCUAGUGACCUCCCACCCCUCAGAUGUGAAAGCCAGACAGGCCAUUAGAGUUACUUGGGGUGAAAAAAAUUAUGGCAUUCAGGUGGGUAACUGAGUUUUGCCCCAUUGCCAACUACAUCAUGACAACAGACACUUAUGUGUUCAUCAAUACUGGCAAUUUAGUGUAGUAUCUUUUAAACUUAAACCACUCAGAGAAGUUUUUCACAGGUUAUCCCCUAAUUGAUAAUUAUUCCCAUAGAGGAUUUUACCAAAAAAAAAAAAAAACGUAUUUCAUACCAGGAGUGUCCUUUCAAGGUGUUUCCUCCCUACUGCAGUGGGUUGGGUUAUACAAUGCCCAAAGAUUUGGUGCCAAGGAUCCAUGAAAUGAUGGGUCACGUAAAACCCAUGAUGUUUAUGUCAGGAUCUGUUUGAAUUUAUUAAAAGUGGACAUUCAUAUUCCAGAAGACACGAAUCUUUUCUUUCUAUAUAGAAUCCAUUCAGAUGUCUGUCAAUUUGGAUGUGUGAUUGCAGCCCACGGCUUUUCUUCCAAGGAGAUGAUCACUUUUUAGCAGAUUAUGCUAUGGAACAUCACAUGCCAUUAA
rnacentral:lncRNA from 1 species